UCCUCUUCCAAUCCAGCUCCCUGCUAAUGCGCCUGGGAAAGCAGUGAAGGACAGCACAAGUCCUUGGGCCCCUGCAUCUAAGUGGGAGGCCUGGAAGAAGCUCCUGGCUCCUGGCUUCAGAUUGGCUCAGCCAUGGCCGUUGUGGCCUUUUGGGGAGUGAACCACAGGAUGGAAGAUUUCUCUCCCACUCUCUACUCUCUCUGUAACUCUUUCAAAUAAGUAAAAUAAAUCUUUUUUAAAAAUCACACGGUAAUGAUUCUUGCCAGUAACAGCCUCUUGUAAAACCAGUGGGCAAGCUGGCACCGCAGCUCACUAGGCUAAUCCUCCGCCUUGCGGCGCUGGCACACUGGGUUCUAGUCCCGGUCGGGGCACCGGAUUCUGUCCCAGUUGUCCCUCUUCCAGGCCAGCUCUCUGCUGUGGCCCGGGAGUGCAGUGGAGGAUGGCCCAAGUCCUUGGGCCCUGCACCCCAUGGGAGACCAGGAGAAGUACCUGGCUCCUGCCAUUGGAUCAGCACGGUGCGCCGCCCACAGCGCGCCGGCCGCGGCGGCCAUUGGAGGGUGAACCAACGGCAACGGAAGACCUUUCUCUCUGUCUCUCUCACUGUCCACUCUGCCUGUCAAAAAAAAAAAAAAAAAAAAAACCAGUGGGCAAAGUUUGAGGAUAAAUUAAGAUAUUUGCAUGAUCUCAAAGUAUUUCCCCCAAGACAGCUACCAAUUACAAAGGGGAUCAUUUCUCCCCCCUGGAGAAAUCCUGCAGCUAGCACUCACGAUUCCUGUGAGCAGCAGCGUGAUCCACUGGCACUGUGCAUCCCUGACUUGCUAGGGAAGAACAUAUAAUUAUGCAAACGCGUACCUCACUCUAACCUUGAGCAAACAAGCCCAGAUGGAUGGAUAUUCUACAAAAUAACUGUCCAGCUCUCUCUCAAAGUGUCAAAGGCAUGAACUACAAAGAUGGAGGCAAUGUCACAGAAUGGAGGAGACAGAGGAGACCCUCGGCGGACACUGGAACAGACUGUGCUGGGAAAACUGAAUGUGAGAGUGCGUGGGUCACAGAAGACGACGGGGCAGUGGAAGAGCAGGAAAAGGAGACUAAGGCCUGAUGACAUCAUAUCAUCUCCUGGAACAAGAUCAGGCUCCACUAGGGGAGGUAGCUGAGGUGAAGAGGAAGCAUACGUGGCCCGAGAGAUCCUGCUUGCCCACACACUCGCCAGGAGCGGGAGUCGAGGGUGGGGAGGAGGGAGGGUUCCUGCAGCCUCCUACCUCACCUGAGACCUGGCCGGUGAGCUCAUGCCGCAGGAUCAUUUUGCCAAGUUUAAAAACAGAACUAUUUUCAUCAGAAAAAAAAAAGGACUGGGGAGGAUACAGGGAAACAUGAACUCUUAUGACCCGCUGGCAGGAGUGUAACUGGAUAUGUGCUCUCUGGAGAUCAAUUUGGCAGUAUCUCACAAAACUGAAGGUAAGGAUACCCCACUGGUCAGUGUCCAAGUCCUAGACACAAACCUCCACAAGGCACGAGGGAACAUGUCAAGCAUUUCACUACAGCACUGUUGAUGACAGUCAAAAAUUUAAAGUGAAAAUAUCCAUCGACAAGACAACAGGUAAACUGUGAUAUGUUCAUUCAAUGGAUUACAGCUCUUAAAAUGAAC